AUUGAACGCUGGCGGAAUGCUUUACACAUGCAAGUCGAACGGUAGAGGGGGCAACCCCUUGAGAGUGGCGAACGGGUGAGUAAUAUAUCGGAACGUGCCCAGUCGUGGGGAUAACGUAGCGAAAGUUACGCUAAUACCGCAUACGAUCUAAGGAUGAAAGCGGGGGAUCGCAAGACCUCGCGCGAUUGGAGCGGCCGAUAUCAGAUUAGGUAGUUGGUGGGGUAAAGGCUCACCAAGCCAACGAUCUGUAGCUGGUCUGAGAGGACGACCAGCCACACUGGAACUGAGACACGGUCCAGACUCCUACGGGAGGCAGCAGUGGGGAAUUUUGGACAAUGGACGCAAGUCUGAUCCAGCCAUGCCGCGUGUGUGAAGAAGGUCUUCGGAUUGUAAAGCACUUUAAGUUGGGAGGAAGGGUAGUAACCUAAUACGUUGCUACUUUGACGUUACCGACAGAAUAAGCACCGGCUAACUUCGUGCCAGCAGCCGCGGU
rnacentral:rRNA from 1 species